AGAGUUUGAUCAUGGCUCAGGAUGAACGCUGGCGGCGUGCUUAACACAUGCAAGUCGAACGAUGACCCGGUGCUUGCACCGGUGAUUAGUGGCGAACGGGUGAGUAACACGUGAGUAACCUGCCCUUAACUCUGGGAUAAGCCUGGGAAACUGGGUCUAAUACCGGAUAUGACUCCUCAUCGCAUGGUGGGGGGUGGAAAGCUUUUUUGUGGUUUUGGAUGGACUCGCGGCCUAUCAGCUUGUUGGUGAGGUAAUGGCUCACCAAGGCGACGACGGGUAGCCGGCCUGAGAGGGUGACCGGCCACACUGGGACUGAGACACGGCCCAGACUCCUACGGGAGGCAGCAGUGGGGAAUAUUGCACAAUGGGCGCAAGCCUGAUGCAGCGACGCCGCGUGAGGGAUGACGGCCUUCGGGUUGUAAACCUCUUUCAGUAGGGAAGAAGCGAAAGUGACGGUACCUGCAGAAGAAGCGCCGGCUAACUACGUGCCAGCAGCCGCGGUA
rnacentral:rRNA from 1 species